rnacentral:rRNA from 1 species
UACGUAGGGAGCAAGCGUUGUCCGGAAUCAUUGGGCGUAAAGCGCGCGUAGGUGGCUCUGUAAGUCCGUUGUGAAAGUCAAAGGCUCAACCUUUGAAAGCCGAUGGAUACUGCAGAGCUAGAGUACGGAAGAGGCGAGUGGAAUUCCUGGUGUAGCGGUGGAAUGCGCAGAUAUCGGGAGGAACACCAGUGGCGAAGGCGGCUUUCUGGCCCGUUCUUGACGCUGAGGCGCGAAAGCUAGGGUAGCAAACGGG